UUGCAGUGAGCCAGGAUCUGCACUGCACUCCAGCCUGGGCGACAGAGACAGUGUUUAAAAAAAAAUAAAGCCCCACAGAUAGUUGGGGUCACACCAGGUGAGUGUGCGGCCAGUAGAAGAAGCUGCCUGCCCCUUGGCCUAGGCAUGCUGUCCAGGAUGCAGCCUCACUUCAUGGGCUUCCUCAGCUCCAUGACCUGUCAUACUGUGAUGAGAGAGAGGCGAUGCCUCUUUUCCUUUCCCCUGACUCCAGGAGGAAGCCCAGCCCCACCGCGCAAUCUCAUCUCUGCAUGGCAGGCUCACCACCGCACUCACAUCCACUGGAUCAGGGUCCCAGAGCCCAGGCCCCAUGCAUUGCCCUCAGCUGGCACCCUCCCACCAUCCCCUUCCUUGACAUGCCCCUCAGCCCUGCUGAGAGCCCCUGUGCUCUCCAGGCUCCUGCAGCCCAGCACCUGCUAGGACGGAUCCUCAUUCUCUGCAGCUCCAGCCCCAGGGUGACAGCCAGGUUGGAAGAGGCGGCUGAAGGUGUGAAACCACCUCACACGGGAUGGAGAAAACAUUCGGUCGACAUCAAAGAGUGGUGCUCAGAGGGUGCUGAAGCUGUCGCUUGGCACUGCCACUGUCACUCUUUCACAAACCCAAAACCUCAAGGGCAGGGAGCUCCAGGAGGCAGGGACAGAACCAGGCUGCUCAGCCCUGUGUCUCUCCUGCCGAGCCACCUGCCUGGAGACCAGGCACCUGACCAAGGACAGCCCCCAAAUGCCCAGUCACCACAAGUUCUUUCUGGGUUCUGGAGUCCCACACAGCCAGUAUGGGGGUGUUUUAAACAGUCAUUUCUCCACCUUCCAGAUUGUUCAGAGACCACCUGGGUCUAAAAAGACCCCCCUGCCCCUCAGAACCCAUGGGCUGCUGGGGCAGUUAGCUAUGCAGCCCCUGCUGCCUCCUGGGGUGAGGACUAAAUGAGUCCGUGCGGCGUUCAGCACGUCACCCUUUGCGACAUCCUCACGGGGGAAUGCCAGCUGGCCAGGCCUCCCUGGGGAGCUGGGGGUGGUUCUGCACUUCUGGAGCCCUCUCGUCUCUGAAGGGCCCUCAGCCAAGCAGGGAGGCGGGCUCUGGAGUCGAGGUGAGCCUUGCCUUCAACAGAACCUCCCAUUUUUCACUUUUCAACCUCUGCUGGGCUCCAGGGACCUGGUAGGUAUGUACCCUACUCAUGGCUGAUGGCAGGAGCUCUCCCUGCAGCCACAGCUGGGGGGCCACACUCCUGCCUCUGAAUUCCAAAAAAUGAGGCCGGCUUUUGCCCAAAUCUGCAAUCCCCAAACUAGAGCAUGCAUCUCAGCGAUGCAGGUUCCCAGGCCCAGCACCAAACUUUUAUUGGAAUCCAGAGGCCUGGCCCAGGCCCAGUGGUCUGCAGCUUUCACUUCCCACCCUGACUUCCUAUUCUAUGCAGGUGUUCCCUGGAAAAGUAUUGAGAAACCUGCGAGAGGGGAGCUCGAAGUUCCCAACAGCUGCAGGCCUGACCCCAGAGGGCCCUUGGGAGUUAACUCUGCAGCUGUCCGUGGGUGGGAGGAACCGGCCUCCAAAGGCCUCACCUGUGGCUUCCUGCGUUCCCAGCCCUACACUGGCUUACCUGUGGCAGGCCAGGGCCUGCGCGGAGCUGCUUCCCAGAGCUUAGGUGAGCUGUCCCCGUGAGCAGCUCUCUGGGGUUGUGCUCAGGCCUGCGUUCCCUGCUGACGACAGGCAGUGAGUCCAGACUCCACAUGAACCUCACCUCAUCCUCCAGGCACGGCUGUGGCCAGGUCACCGGGAAGCCCUGCGCUGGGAGGGGCCAUUGAGGAUCCAGUGUUCCACCUCCGGGUGUACACCCGAAGAAGUGAAAGCUGGAACGCCAAAAGAUUGCACGUCCAUGUCCACGCAGCACUGUCCACAGCAGCAAAAGGUGGAAACAACCCACGUGUCCUUAGAUGAGUAGAUAAACAAACCAAGGUGCGUCUUUCGGUACAAUGGAAUAUUACUCAGCCUUGUAAAGGCAAGUGACACAUGCUACAACAUGGAGGAACUUUGAGGACAUUAUUCUAAGUGGUAGAAGCCAAUCACAAAAGGACAAAUGCUGUAUGACUCCAUGAAUCUUGAGGUGUGCCUGGCACAGUCAGAUUCAUAAAGACAAAGUAGAUUAGAGGCUGCCAGGAACUGGGGGGAAGGAAUGACUUAGUUUCUAAUAGGGACAGAGUUUCUGCUUAGAAUGCUUAACAAGUUCUGGAUAUGGUGCGGAUGGUUGCACAUUUUAUGUUAUAUAUGUUUUAUGACAAUUAAGAAAUGACCUGUAAGCCUGCCAUCUGGAUAACUCCAGUAAACACAUCUUAAUUUAUGUGAA